CCUACGGGGGGCAGCAGUGAGGAAUAUUGGUCAAUGGACGCAAGUCUGAACCAGCCAAGUAGCGUGAAGGAUGACUGCCCUAUGGGUUGUAAACUUCUUUUAUAUGGGAAUAAAAUGUUUCACGUGUGGGAUUUUGUAUGUACCAUAUGAAUAAGGAUCGGCUAAUUCCGUGCCAGCAGCCGCGGUAAUACGGAGGAUCCGAGCGUUAUCCGGAUUUAUUGGGUUUAAAGGGAGCGCAGGUGGCUGGGUAAGUGAGUUGUGAAAGUGUGCGGCUCAACCGUAAAAUUGCAGUUGAAACUGGCAGGCUUGAGUGCAGUAGAGGUGGGCGGAAUUCGUGGUGUAGCGGUGAAAUGCUUAGAUAUCACGAAGAACUCCGAUUGCGAAGGCAGCUCACUGGACUGCAACUGACACUGAGGCUCGAAAGUGUGGGUAUCAAACAGGAUUAGAUACCCCAGUAGUC
rnacentral:rRNA from 1 species